UACGAAGGGGGCUAGCGUUGCUCGGAAUCACUGGGCGUAAAGGGUGCGUAGGCGGGUCCUUAAGUCAGGGGUGAAAUCCUGGAGCUCAACUCCAGAACUGCCCUUGAUACUGGCGGCCUCGAGUCCGGGAGAGGUGAGUGGAACUGCGAGUGUAGAGGUGAAAUUCGUAGAUAUUCGCAAGAACACCAGUGGCGAAGGCGGCUCACUGGCCCGGUACUGACGCUGAGGUGCGAAAGCGUGGGGAGCAAACAGG
rnacentral:rRNA from 1 species